rnacentral:lncRNA from 1 species
GCACUUUAUUUAUUAUUCUUGGUGUUGAGAAUAUGUUUGACGUUUACUCACUUUCCGUUUUGGUACUUGGCAUUUGGUAUGUGUAUUUGGUAUUUUUAUACUUGUUUCCAGUUGGUGACCCUUAUUUUGCAUGCCAUAUCGCGGGCUCCUCCCACCCCCAGACGAUGGAGCGCCAUCUGAGACCGUAGGCCGUGUGGACGGCGAGGACUUCGUGGACUAUCCCGGAGUGUAGAGAGUAGCGCUUGUUAGGCUACAUUUUUUGGUUAGGCUUAGGGCCUAGUUGUAUUUUGGAUGACUGUAUGUCUUAUACAUUUAUACUCAGACAUGUUUAGUGCCUUUUGGCCUUGUGAUAUAGUCGGUUCAUAACUCGUGUUUUUUGGUUGAUGAACUUAAUGUAUCCGCUGUAUGUAAAUUAUUCAGGUACACACUUUGCUUCGAGGAAGCCCUGUAAUAUAAUGUGUUGAUGUUAUAUUUAUUUUCUAUUGANNNNGCGUUCACGCGCGCCAUUUUAUUUAAGCGUGUUGUUUUUAAAAUAAAAAAAAAAAUAAUACCCCUUUUUAUGCUUUGAAAAACGGGGUGUUACAUUUUGGUAUCAGAGCUCGGCAUUAGAUCUUCAAAGGGAAAGUGUGUAC